AUGGCCAUGAAAACAGGAAUGCUUCUUUUUAUUGCUUUAUGGGCAGGUGUUGAUGGCCAGACUCUUACAGAAUCUGAAUCAGUGGUUAAAAGACCUGAAGAAUCCCACAGACUGACCUGUACAGGCUCUGGAUUCACAUUCAGCAGCUAUGCUAUGGCCUGGGUUAGACAGGCUCCUGGAAAAGGGCUGGAGUGGAUUGCUUUGAUAGGCACUUCUAGUUCUCCUAUCCGUUACUCCCAGUCAGUCCAGGGUAGAUUCACCAUCUCCAGAGAUGAUUCCAGCAGUAAACUCUAUCUACAGAUGAACAGUUUGAAGACUGAAGACACAGCAGUUUAUUACUGUGCCCGAGAGACACAGUGA